rnacentral:rRNA from 1 species
ACUCGUGACGGUGGAUGUCUUGGCUCCAGCAACGAUGAAGAACGCAGCAAAAUGCGAUACGUAGUGCGAAUUGCAAAACCCGUGAAUCAUCGAAUCUUUGAACGCAAGUUGCGCUCGCGGGCAAUCCUGCGAGCAUGUCUGUUUGAGUGUCCGCACAAAU